CGAUGAUGCAUAGCCCGAGUUGAGAGACUGAUCGGGCCACAUUGGGGACUGAGACACGGGCCCAAAACUACCUACGGGGAGGGCAGCAGUAGGGAAUCUUCCACAAUGGACGCAAGUCUGAGUGGAGCAACGCCGCGUGAGUGAAGAAGGGUUUCGGCUCGUAAAAGCUCUGUUGUUGGUGAAGAAGGACAGGGGUAGUAACUGACCUUUGUUUGACGGUAAUCAAUUAGAAGUCACGGCUAACUACGUGCCAGCAGCCGCGGUAAU
rnacentral:rRNA from 1 species